GAUGAACGCUAGCUACAGGCUUAACACAUGCAAGUUGAGGGGCAGCACAGUGUAGCAAUACAUGGGUGGCGACCGGCGCACGGGUGCGUAACGCGUAUCCAACUUUCCCGUUACUCAGGGAUAGCCUUCCGAAAGGGAGAUUAAUACCUGCUGGUGUUUGAAAUUCGCAUGUUCUUCAAACUAAAGAUUUAUCGGUAACGGAUAGGGAUGCGUGACAUUAGAUAGUAGGCGGGGUAACGGCCCACCUAGUCUAAGAUGGCUAGGGGUUCUGGGUUGACGGUCCCCCGAAGUGGAACUGGGACACGGUCCAGGCUCCUACGGGAGGCACCCAUUCGGAAUAUUGGUCAAUGGUCGGAAGGCUGAACCAGCCAAGUAGCGUGAAGGAUGAAGGUUCUAUGGAUUGUAAACUUCUUUUAUACGGGAAUAAAGCCCCCUACGUGUAGCGCUUUGUAUGUACCGUAUGAAUAAGCAUCGGCUAACUCCGUGCCAGCAGCCGCCGUAAUAC
rnacentral:rRNA from 1 species